AAGUACCUUUACCUACACACAUUGACUUUUGGAUAUCUUCUGUGAAGAACCUGCCUGCUUUCUUGCAGACUUUAAAAAGAAACACAGGAUCCGUGAGUGCAGCGCAGCAGAACACAAUAAAACCUGAAGUGUGCCUGAACGGAGAGUCGAGCGCUCUCAGAGCGCUGCUUCAGCUGCAUCAACAAGCUCGGAUGUAAUCUGUUGGUUAUUUUUCAGAUAAAAAUGUUUUCUAAUAUUCA